rfam:Brassica oleracea var. oleracea cultivar TO1000 chromosome C9, whole genome shotgun sequence
AAGCCAUGAUGUAGACAUUGAGACCAAUAGCCCUUGAACCUCUCCCAAGCUUCACUAAAGCUCUCUAGGUUCUUUUGCUGAAAGCUAGAGAUCUCAUUCCUGAUCUU